GUGCCAGCAGCCGCGGUAAUACGUAGGGUCCGAGCGUUGUCCGGAAUUAUUGGGCGUAAAGAGCUCGUAGGCGGCGUGUCGCGUCUGCUGUGAAAGCCCGGGGCUUAACUCCGGGUGUGCAGUGGAUACGGGCAUGCUUGAGGUAGGUAGGGGAGACUGGAAUUCCUGGUGUAGCGGUGAAAUGCGCAGAUAUCAGGAGGAACACCGGUGGCGAAGGCGGGUCUCUGGGCCUUACCUGACGCUGAGGAGCGAAAGCAUGGGGAGCGAACAGGAUUAGAUACCCUGGUAGUCC
rnacentral:rRNA from 1 species